rnacentral:lncRNA from 1 species
CGCCAGGAUGGUCUCGAUCUCCUGACCUCGUGAUCUGCCUGCCUCAGCCUCCCAAAGUGCUGGGAUUACAGGCGUGAGCCCAGCGCCAGAGAGUAGCACUUUCAAGAGAGCAUCAGCUGCUGGAGGAUGGGGAGGAUCAGGCGGUGGGCAGGGCCAUGGAGCUCCCAAGAGAUUAUGUCCUUUGUCUUCAGCUACCAGGGCUGGUAGGAAAAGAUGAUCAGGUGGGGCAGGGUUCAGCGUGUGUCUGUGCUAAGACUGUCCUUAAGCAGGGCUUGCUGCUGCUGUUCUGGGGGAUGGGGUGUGGUUCCCAGGCCAAUGGAGUUAUGUUCCCAGGGAGAGUAUGGCUGUUUCUGUUGCAUCACACAUGUCGCCAGGGAAGUGGGGGAAAGCCGGCAGCCCCAGGCCUCACCCAGCUCCCACGCAUCCGGUAGCCUGAAGGGCCAGUCUCACUUCCACCAUGUCCCCGCAACAGCACGGAGUGUAUUUUCAGGCAGCCGGUGAGUAGGGCUACAAGCCUCCAGCUGAGAAAGCAAAGCCAACUCACAGUUCCUUGGCUGUCCCGCGGAGCCUGCGGUGGCAAACCACCUCCUUCAGAAGGGUCUGUGGAUUCUCCUGGCUUUUCUGUCCUUGCCGGAGUCCCACUGCUCCCGAACACAUGCCCUGAGGCAGCGUGCCUGCACAACCAGCUUCCAUCUGAACGCUUCAGACAUGCGCUGCAUUCAGCAAUGGCUGUAAGAAUGCACAGACUACAAGAG